rnacentral:rRNA from 1 species
ACGAACGCUUUCUUCUUUCUUCACACCUGCAAGUCGCACGGAAAGGCCCUGCUUUUGUGGGGUGCUCGAGUGGCGAACGGGUGAGUAACACGUGAGUAACCUGCCCUUGACUUUGGGAUAACUUCAGGAAACUGGGGCUAAUACCGGAUAGGAGCUCCUGCUGCAUGGUGGGGGUUGGAAAGUUUCGGCGGUUGGGGAUGGACUCGCGGCUUAUCAGCUUGUUGGUGGGGUAGUGGCUUACCAAGGCUUUGACGGGUAGCCGGCCUGAGAGGGUGACCGGCCACAUUGGGACUGAGAUACGGCCCAGACUCCUACGGGAGGCAGCAGUGGGGAAUAUUGCACAAUGGGCGGAAGCCUGAUGCAGCAACGCCGCGUGCGGGAUGACGGCCUUCGGGUUGUAAACCGCUUUCGCCUGUGACGAAGCGUGAGUGACGGUAAUGGGUAAAGAAGCACCGGCUAACUACGUG